rnacentral:lncRNA from 1 species
GGAAACGAGCCGAGCUCGAGCGAGCUUAUCUCGGCUCAAAUUCGGCUUGAAAUUAAUUUCGAGCCUAAAUUUAAGCUCAAGCUUGGUUUGAAAUUAAUUCGAGCCGAGCUCGAGCGAGCCUAAUUUCGAGUCGAGCGAGCUCGAGCCCUAAACGAGCCGCUUGAAAUUCUCAAUAUCAUACGAUCAAUAGUUUAAUUUAUAUAGAAUAUUAUCUAUAAUUUGAUACAAAAAUAUAUCUAAUAGUUCAAAGUACAAAAUAAUUAUAUGAAAUAUAGUAUUAUAAUAUAAAGGAAAAUAAUUUAUGAGUUGAAUAUCUAAUAUUUUCAGCCUCACAUGUCUUCUCUUCCGCUUUCAAUCCUCAUAUUAUUCAUUUUCAUCUAUGCGUUCAAAAAUAAAUAAAUUAUAUAGAUAAAUAUUGGAUUAAACUAUCCAAUCAUAUAUAACUAAAAUUAAAAUUUUAUAUAAAUAAUAAUUUUUUACUUUAAAAAUAUUCUGUAUAUUUUUUAAGCAUACAAUUAAUAGUAAGGUAGGCAAAGGCGGGCAUAUGCUGUUAUUUCGUAACUUGAAAGGCUUCCGGCUUGGCCACUUAGGGUGAGAGAUAGAGAAAAAGAGAAAGAGAGAAACAUAUUCAAAAUUUAGAGCUCUGUGAAAGAAAGAAAGAAAUGAAGGGAAAAUGUAUAAAUUUAGUGAAAUUUUGCUUUUUUAUUUGUUUAUUGGGUUUGUUUUUAUGGGCCAACAACAUUAGCCCAAUUUUAACUAAACUCGGGUUAUUCACUCAGUCUAUAUAUAAUUAAAAUAUAUUAUAUUUAUAUAUUUUUUAAUAUAUAUAUAUAUAUAUAUAGAGUAAGGCUACUAUACUCUUAUGAGCAUUGGGCCCUUUGUACUCAUAAGUUGUUUUUGAUGAUGGGGCUUCUGAAUCAACUAUUCACUCUGUUAAAUAUAAUCUAGAGUAUUUGAAACUUCUAGAAAAUAAAUUUCGUAAUUUUUCAAAAUCAGAAUAAAAUUCAUCAAGCGAGUAUAAAAUGAACGGUCAAAAUCAAACGACGUCCUAAAAAUGGAUGAUGGGAUCCUUCAAUUUAAGAUCGGAGUUAUUGAUCUUUAUCUAGGUAGUGAAUAUAAUUUUCUAUCAAAAAUUCAACCUAUUCCGAUUCUUUUAUACCGUUAAACUAGCAAGUAUCUCAUACCGGCCGUUAAAAGUUGUCAAUUUUGUGAGCUUUUGAUCGUUAGGUAAAUGAUGUAAAAAAAUUAUGAAAUUUGAUUUCUAGAUGUUUUAAAUACUCUAGAUAAUGUUUAACGGUAUGGAUCGUCGAUUCGGAAGCUCUAUCAUCGAAAACAACUUAUGAGUACGAUGACGAUCGUAGUCAUAAGAGUAUAGUAGCCGGACUCUAUAUAUAUAUAUAGAGUGCGGCUAGGAUGCUUAUGGAAGCACGGAGGGCUCCGUGCUUCCACUUUGUUUUCGAUGUUCGGACUUUCGAAUCGAAGAUCGGCUCCGUUAGACUUAAUCUAGAGUAUUUGAAGUAUCUAGAAAAUAAAUUUUGCGAUUUGUCGAUAUCAUUUGCCUAGUGAUCGAAGUGGCUCAAAAUCAACGGUUGAAAAUAAAAAUCUUACAAAAUAUGAUGAUAUGACAUUAAAAUUUUAGAUCAAAGUUAUUGAUCUUGUUUUAUAUGGUAUAAAGAAUUUUCUAUCAAAAUUUCAUGUGUAUGGAUAUUUUUACCGUUAAACUUGACCAAACGGCCUCACCAUUUGGCCCGUUAAUUAUUAUUUUUGAGCCCGAUUCGUACUUAGGGCAAAUGAUAUCGAAAAUCGCAAAAUUAUUUCUAGGUAUUUUAAAUACUCUAUAUCACUCUUAAUGGAGUGCCGAUCGUCGAUCGAAAGUACCGAACAUCGAAACGACUUGGAAGCACGGAGGCCUGUGCUUCAUAGCUACCAGGACAAUAUCUUCUCUCUUGUCUCUUGCUCUCUCUUUUACAGCCACCGAGCCAGCUCAGCGCCCACAACCAGAGUCCGUCGAAUACUUAGAGAUCGCAGCUUAUGGUGUUGUAAAGUCAAGCAUUUGGGUGCUUGUAAGUUUUUACGUUAGAUCUACUCCUCGGUAUUUUUAACAUUAGAUUAUAACUAUUCAACCACCCACUAAGCCUGCGGGCCCACAUCAUACUAACCGAUAUAUUUAAUCCUAAUGCGCUAAAAUCUACAAGCCAUAGCUUUGGUUACUUUUUUAAGCAGGAGUCAAUUUCUUCUUCUUCUCUCUCUCUUCUCUUCAUUUUUCUCUCUUCUCUCUCUCUCUCUCUUCUCUAUACUAUUAUAUAUAUAUAUCUUAUUUAUAUUAUUAUAUAUAUAUAUUUAUAUUGUAUAAUAUAUAGACUAUCGAAAUAUGAGAUUGAUGUUUCAAUUUUUACUUUGAUAAGAGGUCACGGUUAGAUAUCGGUCCCUCUUGGAUUAAAUAUACCCUUAGGGUGAGUGGUCCCUACAACGGUAUAUAAUAUUAAUUCCAAAAAAAACAAAAUAGGUAAGAAUGAUAAAGGGUUGCUCUAGAAUCAAAAAUCGAAGCGCACAUAAUCUUAUACUUUCUGCUAGCUUAGUAGUCUACUAAUAUAAUAGUAUUAUAUAUUAUAUAUAGAGAGAACGAGCGAACGCCGGAUGCGAGGAUGAGAUCGAGAGACGAGACUCGAGGAGCCUGAGAAGAGAGAGAGAGAGAGUCUAGCUAUGGUGCUUGUGAAAGCACCAAGCACUUGGUGCUUGUAAGUUUUUUACCGUUAGAUCUACUUCUCGGAUUAUUUUCAACCAUUAUAUUAUACUAUUCAACCAACCACCCACUAAACCCUAGGGGGCCCAUAUCAUUCUAACUGCAUAUCUCUUAAUCCAAUGACUAAAAAUCUACAAGCACCAAUGACUUGGUACUUUUAAAAGUACAUGAGCUCAAUUCUCUCUCUCUCUCUCUCUCUCUCUCUCUCUCUCUCUCUCUCUCUCUCUCUCUCUAUAUAUAUAUAUAUAUAUAUAUUCGAGCUUUUGGAGCCUAAUUUGAAUGAGCCGAGCAAUACUCAAGCUUGGCUUGAAAUGAAUUUCGAGCCUUCUCAUUUAAUUUCGAGUCGAGCUCGAGCGAGCCAAAUAUCGAGUCGAACGCGAGUCGAACGCAAGCCGGCUCGCUCAUUUGCCAGCCCUACGAAUUGGCCUAUUUCAUACAAACUGAAAACCAUAGAAGAUAAAAUUUUACUUCCAAAUAGACCUAUAAGUCUUUACAGAGGUAGGUAGGUAAAACAUUGAAGGAAGAUCUGCACAGGGAACAGCGGACGGCCACCUAUUAAUGAGGAUGGGAUGCAGGUUUAAUUCAUUCCCACACAGUUAAUGGUGGUUUUGAGCUGCAAAGUAAAGAUAGGUUGAAUGUGGAGUUAAUAUGAAAGAGAAAACAAUCAACAGCGAGGGAAAGUAAAGAAAACAGGGGAGGAGAAGGGGAGUUAGGUAAAAGGAUGGAGUUAAGAGGGAUUUGAGGAGGAAAAAGUAGAGUUUGUGGGAAGGGGACAAAGAUGGAGACGAUAGGGUAGGUGAGUUAGUGAUAAGAAGAGUAAAGUGGCAGUGGUAUUGAGAAAACCUGAUUUUUGCCCCUGCCCCUGAAAUUCCCUAGGGAUAAU